rnacentral:rRNA from 1 species
GACGAUGGGAGCGAGCGUUAUCCAUAAUGACUGGGCGUAAAGGGUUCGUAGGUUGUUGAUUAAUCUUGAAUACAAAAGCCAAUCUUGGAAGAGAUGAAAGCUUUUCAAAGGAAGUCAACUUGAGGAUAAAAAAAGUAGCUUGAAUUUCGCAAGGAGGGAUGGUAUCCAGAGAGAUGCGAAGGAAGACCGAUUGGCAUAGGCGGGCUACUAGUUUAUAACUAACAUUGGGGAACGAAAGUGUGGGGAGCAAACAGG